GAUAUAAAGGCAGGCCAAGGGAAAAGCCCUUUUAUAUUUCCAGCAGGACACACCUGGCAAUAGAUUUGACAUUCAGCACUGCCCAGGUUUCUUCCACUUGGAGGAGGCAAAGUGGUGAAUGGAAGGAGGCAAUCCUCUGGCAGUGGGAUGCUAGGGAGAGAUAAUAAGGCAAGUUUGCUUGCUUGAAGGCUGCUGGUAUCCGUGGUUGGGAGCUUGCAGACGUAUCAUGAUGGACCUAACAGUAGCUUCUGGCACAACAGAACACUGUGACAGAAACCAAAGCACAUGGAAACGCCGUUGACCUUCCCACCGCAGCGGUAUCUAUUUAUCUACUUGCACUGGUAUACUUUUGAACUGCUAGGUUGGCAGGAGCUGGGACAGAGCAAUUGGAGCUCUGUUGCGGGGAUUCAAAUCACCAACCUUCCAAUCAGCAAGCCCAAGAGGCUCAGUGGUUUAGACCACAGCGCCACCCAUGUCCCUCACUGCAACUGUAAUGAAGAGUGAAUGGCAAAAAGGGAACUUGCUUAAGUUUAAACAGCAAAACAAACAAACAAUCAAAAAAACUCUGGUUCAAAUGGCUCAUCAAUGACUUCAUAAUCAGUUCUCAGAAAAAUAUUGCUUGUGUGAUUAUAUAUAACCUCAAUGAUCAUCAUCUUGAAUGCACUGUGUUAUAAUAAUUGAACUUUAUUGCAUGGUAAAUUACCAAAGCUUCUUGGUGGUUUUCAACAUUGAGCCCAUUUUAAAAAUCCACAGGUGAUAUAAACCCAAAGUCCAACAUCAACACAAGUAGCUAUAAAUAGUGGCAAAGGUGGUUUUAAAAAGGAAGUUUCAUCCAUGCAUGCUGAGAAACUAGAAACUUUCUUUGACCAGAAACACCUGUUGCCGUUCUACCCAUAAUUCUCUACCCAUUUCUACCACUUGUUGGAUACAUAUCCAGGUUACAUUUAACAAUUCAAAUAAUAUUUUUAAACUUCAUAUUCUUAUGGAUUAUUUAGGUGCAAUUCAGGCAGUUUCUUGUGCAUAAAUAUUUGCAAAUUGUCCAUUAAAAAGGCACAUCUUUCAAAAGUGGUGUGAGGCUAAUUGAUAACAUUUUACAUGACAGACAUUCCUGUUUCUCUUGUGAAGACAUUGUUAGUACAAAUCAUUUGUCUUAUUCAAGUUGGGGUUUGGAAAGCACACACACACACACACACACACACACACACACACAAAAUGGAGUGGGGCAGUCUCCAAAUCAUCACGCUGUUUUCUUUUCCUAAAUUUAUUUUUAUUAAAGAUUUUCUUGGUUUACAAAAGUACAUGUCUUGUCUCUUUUUCCAGGUUCACAGCAACCUUUCCUUGCCCCUGCCUUUGGAACCUUGAGAAACUGCCAAUGAAAACAGUAUGAUGACAGACUAGUGCAAAUUCUAUAUAUUAAAAUUUCUGCAAACUCAUUGUGCAGGUUGCACAACUGGAGCACAACAAGCUUCUGAAAUGCUGGAUGGAGAGAGUCUGCGUUAACCAGAUGAUUCAUCACCAAGAACAGUUUUGCAGAAAGAUACUAGACAUACUGUGCUAGUCAUGCAGAAAGUAUAGGUGCAUUUUCACCAUGCAGUUUAAAUUCGUUAUGUG